UUAACUCAAAUUUGUAUGGAGUUGGAACGUUUGUCUACGUUUGCCGCUAGGGGCGCUGUUCCAAUGGCAUAAAAAUUUGAGUUA
rnacentral:pre_miRNA from 1 species